UGUCGAUGAUGAAUGUUCUUAUCCACAUUCGCAGUUGCAACCAGAAGGUGUAAAAGCCUAAAGAUGGCCUAGUCCUUCCUUGGAUGUCUGAGACA